rnacentral:rRNA from 1 species
GAUGAACGCUGGCGGCGUGCCUAAUACAUGCAAGUCGAGCGAACGGACGAGAAGCUUGCUUCUCUGAUGUUAGCGGCGGACGGGUGAGUAACACGUGGAUAACCUACCUAUAAGACUGGGAUAACUUCGGGAAACCGGAGCUAAUACCGGAUAAUAUUUUGAACCGCAUGGUUCAAAAGUGAAAGACGGUCUUGCUGUCACUUAUAGAUGGAUCCGCGCUGCAUUAGCUAGUUGGUAAGGUAACGGCUUACCAAGGCAACGAUGCAUAGCCGACCUGAGAGGGUGAUCGGCCACACUGGAACUGAGACACGGCCAAGACUCCUACGGGAGGCAGCAGUAGGGAAUCUUCCGCAAUGGGCGAAAGCCUGACGGAGCAACGCCGCGUGAGUGAUGAAGGUCUUCGGAUCGUAAAACUCUGUUAUUAGGGAAGAACAUAUGUGUAAGUAACUGUGCACAUCUUGACGGUACCUAAUCAGAAAGCCACGGCUAACUACGUG